rnacentral:lncRNA from 1 species
AGGCUUCUUAGGUCGGCUAGCCCAGGUCCUGGGGAUUCUGUGGAGGAAGAAUCAAAGGAGAAAGAAUCAGAAAAUUUUGUGGAAGAAUCGAAGGCUGCUUGGCGGUUAAGGAAUUUCCUUAAACACUGCGGAAACACUUCCGGGCUCCCUCUCCGUUAACCCUGCCCGUUUCCGGCGCGUGGUUCUUCCCUGUAUGGCCAUCCUCCCAUCUGACUGCUCCUUAGUCUCUUGCUGCAUGUCUCAGGUUUAGGGAAGUGUCUGGUGGCACAGGUGUGAUUCCCCUCAUUACGGCGGCACCGUGGAAGUGCAGACUUUCACAGGGGGUGUGGUCUCAGCUCACACAGGUGAGGGUACAGAUGCCGUUUUGUGUACUGAUGCUAGUGGGCAAAAAUAUAAGAAUGAGACUAAUUAUAGGUCAAUACUUGUGGAGUUUUGCCUUGAAGAGCUACAGUGAUACCUUGGUUGUUGAACUCAGUUUGUUCUAAAUUCGUGUUUGAACUCUGAAAAGUUCAAGAGCUGAACAUACUUUUCCCAUAUGAAUUAAUGAGAAACCAAAUGAUUGGUUCUGAGGCCCAAAAAUUACACUUAUAAAUUCAUUUUUCCAGGACCUUAACAGAUUUUGCAGUGGUUUAUUUCUUUUUUUUUUUUUUUUGGUACUGGGGAUUGAACUUGGGUCCUUGCGCUUGCGUAGGCAGCAAAACCACUGAGCUAAAUCACCGGCCCAGUGAUUUAUUUCUUUAACUCUGUAGUGGUUCUCACAGUUUUCCUUAGCUUUUCUAGGGGUAUCACUAACUUUCUUUGGAGCCAUGGUUACAGUAUUUUACACAAAGCACAAAAAAAAGCACAGUGACAAAUGUUUUAAUGAACAGAAGUUCUGUAUGUCCUGUAGGUGAGAGUGAAGUGUCAUCCCUUUGUGUAUGCAGCAAGACAUGGUGUGUGACUGACCCAGUCUCAGCCUGUAUAGGAUUUUUUUUUUUGUACCAGGGAUUGAACUCAGGACCUUGCGCUUGCGCAGCAGGCACCGGCACCACUGAGCUAAAUCCCCGGCCCCUGUAUGGGUUUAAGUCAGAUUUUUGGUUUGACUAUCAAGCAAAGUUAGGAUCACUGGACAGAUUUUUUUUGAACUUUGCUGUUUUAAGUAGUGAAGAGUUCCAUCUUGGAGCUGUUCAACAGCUCAGCUGUUCUACAACCUUAUAGGAAUAUCUGUAUGUGAUUUUCUCUUGGAGGGUUUGAUGCUGUGGAUGGAGGAAGAUAGGGUCACCUUCGUUUGACCAGGAAGAGUAACAGGUUCUCUAUGGCCGGACAUGGUGAUAUAUAUCUGUAAUCCCAGCACUCGGGAGGCUGAGGUGGGAAGAUUACUGCAAGUUCGAGUCCAGCCUGGGUUACAUAGCAAGACUGUCUUUAAAAAAAACCAAACAAAAAAUCAAGUUUUCUAUGGUUUUGGUGUGAUACAACUUGGCUCUAAGUUCUGCUACUUCCUUUUUGUGUGACCUUAUUCAAAUCUUUUAGUCUCUCUGCCCUCAUUUCCUAACUUAAGAAGUAGACAUACCAAAGAAAAGAAGUAGACAUAGCUGGAUGUUGUGGCACACGAUUGUAAUCCCUUCACAUAAAAUUGUUUGGUUUUUUUGGUUUGUUUUUUUGGUACUGGGGGUUGAACUCGGGACCUUGCACUUGCAAGGCAGGCAGCAGAACCACUGAGCUAAAUCCCCAGCCCCCUUCGCAUACAAUUGUAUUCAAUUGUAAUUCCCUUUGGGAGGCUGAGACAGGAGAAAAAGAGG